GUGCAGAUUUCUUGUGAUGAAAUAGAAGGUAAAGGUAUGAAACCUUAUGCUUCCACUUACCAAGAAAUGAGAAGGCAAAAUAUGUGUGAAGUCAAGAGUGGCAAAGGUCCUGUAAAUCCUGCCCUAGACAGAAGGCAUCUGGGCCACUGAAAACAGGAUGCUGGACCAGGUGGAUUUUUUGUUCAAUCCAGCAGGACACUUCUUAUGCUUGCGAUGAUGGCUUCCCAUUCUAGAAGCUGG